rnacentral:tRNA from 1 species
GCGCUCGCGGCCGAGGAGGGCGUGGCGGCUCAGGGCCGCCAGUACGCCGUCAACCGCUUCGUGCACGUCGGCACCGAUCCGGCCGGGCGGC